AGAUGGACCCGCGCCGUAUUAGCUAGUUGGUAAGGUAACGGCUUACCAAGGCGACGAUACGUAGCCGACCUGAGAGGGUGAUCGGCCACACUGGAACUGAGACACGGUCCAGACUCCUACGGGAGGCAGCAGUAGGGAAUCUUCCGCAAUGGGCGAAAGCCUGACGGAGCAACGCCGCGUGAGUGAUGAAGGGUUUCGGCUCGUAAAACUCUGUUAUUAGGGAAGAACAAAUGUGUAAGUAACUGUGCACGUCUUGACGGUACCUAAUCAGAAAGCCACGGCUAACUACGUGCCAGCAGCCGCGGUAAUACGUAGGUGGCAAGCGUUAUCCGGAAUUAUUGGGCGUAAAGCGCGCGUAGGCGGUUUCUUAAGUCUGAUGUGAAAGCCCACGGCUCAACCGUGGAGGGUCAUUGGAAACUGGGAAACUUGAGUGCAGAAGAGGAAAGUGGAAUUCCAUGUGUAGCGGUGAAAUGCGCAGAGAUAUGGAGGAACACCAGUGGCGAAGGCGACUUUCUGGUCUGUAACUGGCGCUGAUGUGCGAAAGCGUGGGGAUCAAACAGGAUUAGAUACCCUGGUAGUCCACGCCGU
rnacentral:rRNA from 1 species